rnacentral:lncRNA from 1 species
GUCAUGUGGACCCUGAGGAGGCAACCACCAUUAACGAGCUGAAGAAGCCUGUUGUGGAGAAAGAAGCUCCAGGGCAUGCCAUAUGAGGGCAUGCACGCACGGCCUCGGAGGGGAACCAGAAAAUUAUGUUAACAAAAUAAUCUGGAACCCUAAUGUAUCAGUGUCAUCAUCAGUGUGUAGUUUAAGCUAGCUUUGCUAUGGUUACGUUCUCUGAGAUGAGAGUCUUGAUGAACAGUGCCAUUCUGAUGUAUUGCUUUCCUUGAAAGUUAAUGCAUGCUUCUUAUCUUCUGUCUAUAGCUAUAUGCUUUCUUUUUCUUUUUCUUUUUUGUUAAUCAGAACAUUUGCAACUUCACUCCUUAGUAUAUAAUAGUUAUCCAUACAAAAAGAAAUAUUAUUUAAGGACAUACUGAAACAUAAAUAUUACACUUUUUAGCAUCCAUAAAAAAAAAUUGAACGAGGAGGGUUAAAAAUAUAUUUUUAACAUUUUUUUAAUAUAUUCUUUGUUAUUGAUUGAAUUUAAAAAAAAUAUAAAAUUAGCUAGAGAGAAAAUUAUUAAAUAAAAUAUAACCUUAAAAAUUUAUAAUAUUUAAUAAAUUUUAAUCAAUUAAAAAGAACACUCCUCCAGACUUAAGAUUUUGUAUGGAUUAAUUCACUAGUAAGUACAUCAUUAAGAUUCAUUCGAUUCAAUGCAGCGGACAAGGGAAAUAAAAGAAAAUACUAUAUGUGGGUUUUUUUACUACAAGAAAUAUUAUCUAUGUCUACGGACAAAAACCAUCACUAGAUGUUAAAAAUGUGUAGGUAAAUAUAAUAAAAAUUUUGUCCUACAGACAUUGUGGUCGUCAACUUUGAGGGGACGCAUGUGACACCCUCUAUCCCUCACAUAUAUACUAACAAAGGAAUAAAAAUUCAAAUAUUAAUUAAAAGUAUUUUUUUUGAACAUUUUUAAAUACGGGUCUUUCAAAGGGAUAAAAGGUUCACAAUCACUUUCUUCUACAUCAUAUUCAAACUUGUCCAAAUAAAUAAUAAAGUCAUCGGCUCGAACAAGGUCGUUUGAGACUUCAUACAAUUAAUAUAAAACCCUAUACCCCAAUGUCACAUCCUAUCAGAGCGUUGUGUCUCGACGUCUUUCAGCACAAUAUUCCUUAAAGCAGUUUACCUAGUCAUCUGCUCCCCCGAACACAGAGUUCAAGAUCAUCACAGGAUCCAAACACAAACAACAAACCGGGAGUGAGUUAUCACAUUCCUAACUAAUAGAGAAACAAGACAACUAGAUAUACAUAUCAUAUAAACCAAAUAAAACUUACUUACACGUAAUUCACGUAAUUCCAUCACUUUGUCAUUCAAAAUUCAUUUUUCAUCAAUCAAUCACAUUUUUCAAUCAUCAAUCACAUUACACAGGAAUCACACGCUCUGAUCAAGACAUAAUAACACCUCAAUUUCAUAAUAAACAAUUAGCAAGCGCAUGAGACAGUUAUGCUAAGACUCAAGCCUAUAUGCAAUGUGGUACCAUGUCAGUGAAAAACCACCCUGGGGCGCUUAGGAGUACAUAACAAGACACACCACACAAUGGGUUUGUCAGGUCACUCUCACUAAGUAAGAUCAUAGGGAGACCAGUCAGGGUCAUGAUGUUUUGCGAGAAUGCUUCAACCAUACGGGAUCAGCAUAGGCUUAAAGGAGCACUCAAACUCGGUGACCCCUAAGGCCUACACUCCGAAGAGUCCGUCAGGGCCUCUCCCUCCUGAUUCAGGUCUAACCCCUAAAAUCAUUUUAGCACACAGACACUGCUCGUGAAUUAUACAAUACCAACGACCUCACACUCGUGUUUUAAACACGUACAACAUAUUGCGCUACAAUUUAACACUAGUUCCUAAAUAGGAAACCUACACUUUCUCUUUAACACUGCGCAUUUACACUUUUAUCAAAAUAACACUGGUCGGGUUAUUGUACAAUUCACGGCUUACAACACAAAUAAUGUCACAUCAAGAGUUAAUCACACACUUAUUUACAACCAAAACUCAUUCACAAUUUCACAUCUCAUAAUGUCACAAUCCACCAUCACAUGUUUUCACGUAUCUCACAAUUCAACAUCUGCUCUACUUUACACUUUUACUCAAUCUCAAUAACAAUAUUAUAAUCUCAAGGCAACAUAUUAUUCCACAAUUUAUCACAUAUUUCAUUUAUAAGCACUGCUCAUGAAUUAUACAAUACCUCCGACCUUACACUCGUGUUUCAAACACGUUUAACACAUUGCACUACAAUUUAACACUGGUUCAUAAAUAGGAAACCUACAUUUUCUUUUAAACACUGCGCAUUAACGUUUUUCUCAAGAUAACACUGGUCGGGUUAUUGUAUAAUUCAUAGCUCAUAAUAUAAUUAUUGUCACAUCAAGCGUCAAACACACACUUAUUCACAAUCAAAUAUCAUGCCCACAAUUUAACAUCUCAUAAUAUCACAUCAAUCAUCUCAUUUUUACAUGUAUCUCGCAAAUUGACACAUUCAACUUUGUACUACUCAAUCUUCACUAUAAUAUUAUAAUACCAUUAUAAUAACUUAUUACACCUUAUAACUCAUGCACAUCACACAAUAAUAAUAUUUGCAUGAUACAAAACAUAUAUAUGCAUAUGUAUAUAGUAAAUUAAACUACAUUGUUUUUUUAUCAAAGGAUUUCUAUAACAAUUAAUUUAAUAUUACAUCAAAAGAAAUUACCAUUAGACAUUAACCUUACAAUUUUCUUUAAUUUAUUAUUCUAGUAUUACAAUAAUUAUAUACAUAUAACAUGUUGAUCAUCGUCGAAGAAAAAUUAGAACAAGAUAAUAAUUUAUAUAAAAUAAGUCAUUGAAUAAUAUUAUUUAUAAUAUAAUUUACGUUAAUAAGAAGAGCUUAAUUUUUCGAAGGGGUUCACAUUCAACACAAAAAUACAUCAAUUUCAUAGCAAUUUCUCAUUGGGACAUCAACUGAUUCAUCAAACAUAUAUAAUUCACUGUAAUAAUUAAAAGGAUAAAAUGAAAAUUGCAAAAAUACCCCAAAACUGAUUCCAAUUGAUAUCUCUAAGGAUCCAUACACAUGUUUUCACUAAUCCCCAAUUGUGAAUAACUCAUCCCUUACCUCUGAGCGGACUCACGUGUCUCAGCCAACGAUAGUAACAUCUCUAGCGGUUCCCUGAGAUUCUUUCAGUUAUUCCUCCGACUGCUCCGAUAGAAUUCCCAAACGUCGGAGAGACGGAGAAGAGAUUGAAACCUCCACUUGUACUGUCUUUAUGCGAUUCCUUUUUCUCCCUCCACAAAUGUUAUCUCAAAAAUCCCAACGGUGCAAGUGUGCGCAAUUAAAUUUCGAACAACAUGUCCAAAUUUCAUGAAAAUCCAACGGUUAACGAAAUCGGGAUCGUAGUUUUACCGAGACAGUUUUGGGUUUCUGCAGGAAAUUAAAAUGCUACAAUGCGAAGGGUUUUCCUCUAAGCUCAUAUAUGAUUUUGAAAUUCCCAACGGUGAGAAUGUUCGAAAUUGGGUUGCGAACGUGGUACUCAAAUUUCACGACGAUCCAACGGUGAACGAGUCCGAGAUCGUCGUUUUUCUGAGACAGGUUUGGUGGACUGCAGGAAAAAGAAGAGGUUUUGAGAGGAGAAGGGGAAAAACGAAAAUGAGGCCAAAAAGAGGCACCUGACUUAACAUAACUAUUUAUACCUAAGGUACUCAGCCUAUUAUUUGCUCUAUAUUUAUUUAUUUUAUAAAAACAAACUCUAUUUUAUUUUCUAUCAAACAAAUAAAUGAAAUAUCAUUUUUAGUUUCUCUCAAAUCAUUAUUUUAAUUAAUAAUUAUAUCUCCUUAUUUAUUUAUUUAUAAAAUCUCAUCAUUUUUCUAAAACUCUAUUUAUUUAUAAAUAAAAAUCAUUUUUAAUCUAGAUUACAAAAAUUGGGAUGUUACAGCGCACAGUGAUAGAUUAUCGUCGGUCAGUGUAGGUUUUUACCUACUAAUUUACUUUCACCUACAAUUCACAAUGUGCGUAGCUAAAAGUCAUUAAUUUAUAUCUACAACCGCUGACUGUAGAUAAAAAUAUUAACUUGUACCUACAACUUCCAACUGUAGGUAAAAGUCAUUAACUUAUGCCUACCAUACAUUAAAAGACUAUAGAUAUAAACCAUUUAAUUGUACUAUGCCUACGGACAAAAAUAAAACAUAUAAACCAAGGAACAAGAAAGGUAGAAAGAAAAUAGUGGAUUGCAUACUUUCUGGAAGGUCUCUUCUUAGUUCAUUCAACUCUGCCUUGGCACUCAAUUGUUCAUUCAACUCUUCUUAGUGGAUUGUAUAUAAAUCAUAGAAUACAUAUUAUCAAUGACAUAUGAAUACAAAACUUGUAACCGGUCCAAUUAAGUUGGUACCUGAUAAAUAAUAUAUAUUGAAGUGCGCCUUAACACAGAUUCCUUUAAAGCAUUUAGAAAAAUAUGAACUGGCAUUGGAAUUGCAGGUUGAAUUGAGCCUGCUUAAUGAAGACAAAGAUGUGUCACAGCCUGGUAUGACUUAAAAGCUAGAACAAAGUUUCCAAACUAUGCUACAAUAAGUAAGGAACUAGAAUGUAUGGGAACUAGAAUGUAUGAGAACAGAAAUUAAAGUAUUUGUUAAAUAGCAGAAAUCAGAGGCAUAUGAAAAAAUGAAAAAUAAAAGUUACAUCCUCUAACAAAAGCUAAUACAAUGUUAAAUUACAUAUUAAGAACAUGUAGAAUAAAAUGGUAACACAUAAAUGACCAAAAAAUUUCGACCUGUAUCUAUAAGGUUUUCUCAACUACAAAGUUUAUCUUUAACGUAAUCAAUUAUAAAUUGUAGUUUUGCAUAUUAAAAAUUAUUUUAAUAGUCUACUAAGUAGAAAAGGAGUAAUACAGUAUACAUUUUCCUCGACAAAGCAAUUUCAUUAUUAUGUAGCAAUUUUAAUAAAAAUAUAAAUAUGCCUACAACUACUUCUUUAAAUUUCACCCUCUUUUCCUAGCCAUUGACCAUAUCCUUUAAACCAAGGACAAUAUGAAAACUAACUGAAUUACUAAUAUCAGAGUAGAUAAUAUUAUUUCUAGUGAAAAUCACAUUACACAAGCAUAAAGAUUAUACUGCAGGAGCAUAAAGAAAUUAUCCUCUUGAUCAAAAUGUUGUAAAAUGUAGCAUUGAAUAUAGUCAAAUAAAACCAGCUUUCCGGCCUCCAAAUAUCAAGCAAUUAAAGAAGGGAUUAAGGGGCAUGAAGUAGAAUUUCCAUUUCUUCAAAUAUCAAGCAAUUAAAAUGUUUCCUUUUCUGUUUCUUUAGUUCACGAUCGUCCUAAAAAGUAAAAAAAUCAUUGGGGAAGGGAAAAGGAAAGUAAAGCUCAGCAAGGGUAAAGGAACUAAAGGAUGCAAAGUUGCUACAUAAUAAUGAACGUCUGUCUAUGGGAAAUACUUACUAUCAGCAAAACGAAAAUGUUUUUCUUACCUAUUAAAAUAACCAUGAAAAUGAUAAAUGUUAACUAUGAAAAAAAAAUGUAAUAAAUGCUUUGAACAAUCUUUAAGAAAAACUAAUCAAGGAAUCAUACUUGUAUCCAUUGUUCACCAAGCGCGACUUCACGUCCCAUUAUGGUUGGAGGAGUAACAGCUUCUGAGGCAGAAGACUGAUUAUGUCUCAUUUUUGCAGCUUCGGCACCAGCAGGUCCCACAAGUCCAUUCCAAUAUUAAGACUAGUUGGAGACAUUGAGACAGCGGGAUUUCCAGGCACUGAAGAAUGAGGAAUGGUGCUCACAGAAUUCUUCCGUGCAUUGGCUCCUGAAAAGGUUCACACAAACACAAAAUUGUAUGACAAACCACGAAAAAAGAAAGAUAAUCAUGAAUGAUGUUGCAGCAUACCAUCAACAAGCAUUUGGUCAAAACUCCCUUUCUUGUUUGUAGCUGAUUCCUACAACGAAAUACAACUCAUGAGAUUGCAAGAAACAGAUCAAUCAGGAUAUGAAGGUGCCAGUGGUAUCGACAGUUAAUAUUUAAAAAAAAAUGAUUAGGACUUAAUAGGACUAGAAGAAAGAAAAAAAAAUGUGAAGAGAAAUAGUAACCUGAGUAGAAGAACUAGAAGAUGGUUUAGAAACUUUAGCUGUGCUUUCUUCAUCAGUUCCCAUUCAGAUCAGCUCAGAAAAACUGCCUUGAAAUCAGAUUAAUUUCUGAUAAUUGUUUAGGCCAUAUAUCACCUUCAACAAGUACGCAUGCCAGACAACGUACUGAAUAAAGAAACAUAAAAUUACAUGUCACUAAAAGCAUUCAGUACGUUUUAAGCUAUUUAUUCUCCGGAAAUAUGUAUUGCUAUAAUUAAACAUUUCUUUUACAACCAAACAAAUUAAUAUAAUCAAUGAAGGUCAAAACUGACCCUUCUCUUGAUGAGAUUUGAAUUAAGGAUCUAUAGCAUCUCACUAGCCGGUCCUUUACUCUAGAUAAUACUAAAGCAAUAACUCUUAAUCGGAAAGAUUGACACUCUUGGUCAUAAGAUGAAUAUCCUUACUUCAAACAUGGAAAAACUGGCAGAUUACCUAAACAACAAAACACAUAAAGUUAUCAAGUCUGAUAAUUCAACUUAGUUAUUGCUUGGGAUUGAUGUUUGAUGAUCAAACACAUUUCAACUUUUAUCUACCAGAAACUUAUUGCAAUAAACAAAUAGCAAAGAAAGGAAUUUUUUAACAGAAUGAAUUUUCAAAUAUAAAGUGAGAAGAUGAAGCAUUAUUUUCAAUUCUGGAAACUAAGUUCACUAACUUUUAUUAAUGAUUAAAGCAUUAAAAAUAUAAAAAAAAAAUUACAAAAUCUCAAUGACUUGUAAUAUUGAGCCUCACACGAAGUGGUUAUCCUUUAUAUAUAGUCGUUGAUUAGCAAAUAGACAAGAGAUAGCUUACCCGUAGCUAUAUUUUAUCAUGCAACACAUGGAAUUUUUAGAGUCCGAUUCACAAAAGGAUAAAGUGAAAAGAGACAAGGAGGCAAUGUAUUUAUGUUCAAGAAAAUUUUCUUAUUACAGAUGUAAAUAAAUUAGCCAUCAAUGUGAUGAAUAUAAGUUGUUUAUAAGAUCAUACAGGGGAUAGCGAUGCUGUAUAAGACUCAUCACUGUACCUUACGCCUUUUAAUGAACAUGAACACAGUCGAGAAGUGACUACAGCUUCUGGAAUGCCAAAAGUACUUCCGUGGUCUUGUAAGCUUUCACUACCAGCAGCUUUAGAUUCUGGCUUUUCACAAGUUGAUUUUAAGGCAACAUUCAAGCCAAUUGAGCUAGGUUCCGUCACAAAACUGUAAGCCAUAUGAAAAACAAAACACCAUUUAGGUUUGUAAAAAACUACGUAUGGUACAACUAGUUUUAACUGGAUAAUGUGCAGCAAAAAUUCAUAACAUCUCAGCAAACGUUCAUGAAAUUCUACUUAUUAGAUUGGAUAGAGAUCACUGUGACUCAGAACAAUUGACAAGUUACUAUGAGAAAUUCAGAAUAGGAAAGAGGAUUCAAAUGUUUUCUCAAACCAACAUGGCCUAAUUGUUCCUAAAAAAAUCCUAACAUAGUUUCAUUAGACAAGUUUUCUCAUUCACAUAUUAGAAAGCUUCGUUACAGAGCUCAGCCAUAAACAAUUUGGCUCCAAAAACCCACUAGCCAUAGGUCCACAUUAGAUCGCCACAACAAACCUCAAUCAUAGCAAUCAGGGCUCUGCUUGAUUUGUUUUCAAAACCAUGGUUCAUUACCAAGCAAUGUUCCUCUAAAGUUAAAUCCAUGUUACUUGAAUUUGAACGUAUUACCCAUAUUCUCACUCAGUUAAAUCUGCAAAGUGCAGACAAAAAAACAUUAGUCAGCAGCACAUGAUUGAAAAUAUGAGUAAACAUCAAAUAAGUCUGAUUUAAUUUAGGCUAAUGAAAGUGACCGAUGACCUUCCUAAAAGCAUUGUUUAGCUUAUUUCAUAGUCAAGCUUAAAAAAAAAACUUCGUACCCCAUUGCCCAGAGGCUCUUCGCUAUGCGAAGGUAUGGGGGAGGGAUAUUGUACGCAGCCUUACCCUUGCAUAUGCAAAGAGGCUGUUUCCGGAUUCGAACCCAUGACCAACAAGUCACCAAGGCACAACUUUACCGCUGCACCAGGGCUCGCAUUGUCAAAAUAAUAUUUUUUUUUCAGUAAACUUCACACUCAAGUUUACAAAUAAGCUCUCAUUUUAUAAGAACUUACAGAAUAAAUGCUUAGUUAACUUGUUUACCAAAACAUGCCAAAGUCUCAAUUAAAAAACCUGGAAAGGAAGCUAUAAAGAAUUUAGAAGGUCAGUCACCUGUAAUUUAGUAAAAAGUCAUAUAAAGCAUGUACAUUGUUGUUGCCACUAAAAGCCAGCAAAGAUUCUGGGCUAUUAUCAACAUCAUAGAAUGACCUUAAUCGCCGAGUCUGUGUUAUUUCAAAUAGCAAGCACCAAUUAAAUAUAAAUUAUACAUAGAGAAGAAAAAAAUAACACUGGAAUUAAUUGAUAGACAAACUCACAGAACACCAUAAUACGCACAAAAAGGACAGCCAACUAUUAACAUGAAGUGCAAGACAAUAACUAAUUUGAUUCUAAAUGGAAAGAAAGAAAUUACUAUUUGAUUCUAAAAUUGAAACUGUGCUAUGACUACAUGUGGAUUGGGAGGCAUCAGAAUACAAACUCCAUUUCAAUUUAAAUGAGAAAUGAGCAUAUGCAAUACUACAUGACAAAUAAUAAAGAAGCAACUCAUCACAAACAAUAAGUCUGCAUAGUUUACUCCCAAAUCAUAAUCCUAGGGAAUAUUUUACUUCAAGGCAACCAUUUAUACAUUAUCUUCAAGGCAAAAACACCUUGAGAGCAUGCACCUAGUCAAGCAAAAAGCACAUAUGGCAACCAAUCCUCGGACCAGUAAAAAUGAAAUUAAAUGUCACAACUCACAAAUGUAUAAUAAUAAAAUCAAUAAUGAACUAUGAUAACCGAAACAUCUUCAAUAUAAUCACACAGAUUGAAUGCUAAAUUGAGGUCAAGAGUUUGGUAACUUACCCUAAGUUCUGACGGUGUCUUCUUUCUAGCCAUAGAUCCAGUUUUCAAAGGUCCGGAGCCAAGUUGGUGAGAGCUCGAGGGCACAGAACUUGGUUUAGCCACUUUCGCCAUGCCUCGUUUCGCCGCGCGUACUUUACCAAUCAAAACACGUCAUCGACAAUAAUCUGCAAGUGCAGAUUCCGUAAGCGAGAAAGGAUUUACAGUAGAAUUCACAAAUUGCACAAUUAGAGAACACGAUAAGUGUGCUACUAAUUAUGAGCGCAAGGGAAUGUAGAUUAACGGCUUAUGUUUUGAAAAUUAGAAUAGAAUAAAUGCGAAUCGGAAGCAGGAGGGAAAGAGAAGAGACCGAAUCGUGUCGUGGAAGAUUCAAUGGCGAGCGGUGUCGUAUCGGUUUUCGGCGCAGCAGAGGGAGAGGGAAGAGAGCGAAAAUGGGAGCGGGCCCCCCUUCUCCGGCCUCCGCCGUGCCACCAACUCCUUCUACACGCGAUAAAACUAAUGUUUUGUUGAUAUUAAUUCUUUAAUUAAUAAAUUUUUAAGAAUAUUUUUAUUAAAAUAAGAAAUAAAUAUAUAAUUAUUUUAAUAAAAAAUCAUCAUUCUGAUUACAUAUAAAAUUAUUCUUGAAAACUUAUGUUAACGUUCUAUUAAAUUAGAGUGUAUUCUUGAUUAAAUGGUCAAGCUGAGUUGGUGAAAUAUGUUAAGGAGAUUGUUGUAAAUUAAUUGUUACUUGAGUUGGAUUCUAAUGAGUAUAAAAAAAAUCAUUUUAUGUAUAUUUACGAUUCCAUCGAAAAAUUAAUCGAAAUUAUUUUGUACCAAUAUCUUUUUCUUUUGCUGAAUUUUCCCGUGUGAAUUUUUUCCAAUUUGCACCAAUAUCAUCAGAAGAAGAAAAAAGUCAUUUCUUUUAAUUUUUAUAUAAAAUAAAAAUUAAAGAUUAAAAAAACGUAAUCUAUAUAAUCUUUAAUUUAAGUGCCUGCUUUUGCGCAUAACUCCUACAUGGAGAAUGUUACUGUUAAUGAUUCUUCAAUGAAUAAUUUGAUUAAUUUCUAAUCUGUAUCUAGGGCGCGUUGCCCAACCCUAUCAGAAAAAUAAACACUUUAAUUUGAAACUUUACUUUUUUUAAUGAUAUAAAUCUUUAAGAAACAACUGGUUCCGAUAUAUUUUCUUACAUAACAAAUAUUAUUUUAAAAAUUGAAAAAUUAUCAUUAUAAUAUAUUUAUUUUCCUUUUUAUUACAUUUUUUAUUUUUUCAUUCUUAUUCUAUUAAUAUUUAUUAUUUUCAUUUAUAUGUAUUUUAAUUUAUUAUUAUUUUUUUACUGUUAUCUCUAUUUUAUAAUCAUUCGUACACGGUACACCCAAAAAUUACCAUAGUAAUUUUUCUUUUAUCAAGAUGCAGGUACUGUGUACACCCAAAAAAAAUAUGCAUUAUUGUACCUUUUAUAUCGAUUUGCAUUAUUGUACCUUUUAUCGAUUUGCAUUAUUGUACUGGUUCCGAUUCAUUUUUUUACGCAAUAUAAUUUUUCUUACAUAACAAAUAUUAUUUUAAAAAUUGAAAAAUUAUCAUUAUAAUAUAUUUAUUUUCCUUUUUAUUACAUUUUUUAUUUUUUCAUUCUUAUUCUAUUAAUAUUUAUUAUUUUCAUUUAUAUUUAUUUUAAUUUAUUAUUAUUUUUACUGUUAUCUCUAUUUUAUUAUCGCUCGCACACGGUACACCCAAAAAUAGGAUAAGAGUACCAUAAUUGGUAAUGGAGUGGAGCGGAGUGAAGUGGGUACUGUCUUCGCGAAUCUUUCACCCCGACUUUUUAACAUGUCUUCAUAAUCUGAUAUAAUAAGAUGGAUUAAAAUUUAUUAUUUCAUUUAUCCCCGACCCUGUCAUGUAUUCUAUUUAAAUUAGAAAAUUAUUUUUUUUAAAGAAAAUAUUAAAAAUUUGAUUUUAAAAAAAAUAAUUUGAUUGUUAAACAUUUAUUUUUAAUUAUUUAUAUGUCAAUAAAUUUACUAUAGCGCAUGUGCCUACAAAAAUCGUUAAAAAAAAUAUUAAAUUAUGUAAAAAAUUUAAAAUAAAAUUAACUAGUAAUAAAAAUUCUAGAUCUUUUGAUUAAAUUAUGCAAAAAUAUUAAAUAGUAGGACAGAUCUAGAUUCGGGAUUGGGGCGAAUAUAAUAAAUUCAUACCCAAUUCAUACCUAACUUUUGAUUAUAAAAAAACCUAAACUCAAAUCCAUAUUCGAUUAACUUAAAUAUUAUCCAUCAAAAUCGGAAUCAAACCAACAAGUACUAGUUUUUUUUGUCAUGUCAAUUAGUAGUUUUCCUUUUAAUAUUAGUAUGCAUUAUUGUACCUUUUAUCGAAAUGUAUUAUUAUAUUGAACCUUUUAUCAUAUCAAAGAUCUAGACAAAAUAAGUUACUCCAACUUGUCGGUUGAUGAUAACAUCAAUAUGCAUUAUUGCACUAUGAUUGAUUAUGUUUUUGUUAUUUUUUUUAGUAAAUAAUUAAAUUAGUCCUUAAGAUUGUCAUAUUAAUCAGUUCCAAAAAUAAAGUGAAACUCAAAUGAGUCUCAUAUUUUUUAAGAUAUUAGCUACAUCUCGAUUAUAAAAAAAAACAUAAUUUAUAUUUAUUAAAGAAAUUAGUUAAUUUUAUUAAAUUGAGUUAUUUUUAAUUAUUUUUUAAAUUACUUUUUAUUUAAACUUGAUAUUAACUAUAAAAAAUCUUUGAUUUUAUUAAAUGAAAAUUAUUUUAAAAAUAAUUUUAUUAAGUAAGAUUUUAAUAAUUAAAAUUUAUUUAUAUUAUAGAAAAAAAUAAGAAAAUUUUGUUGUUUAUAUUUGAGAUUUUGAGGGUGUAAGUCUCCAAAAAGUUCUUAUUUUUUGUUUUGGAUUCAUGUGAUAUUACUAUACUUAAAUUCGUAUAAAUUACGAAGUAAAAAUGAAGGCUAUAUUCGUAAAUACAAACUAUGAGUUGGUCUAUAAAUAACGUUCAAGUCCCUCUUCUUCGUCACACAGCUAUUCCUCUUAAGCUUGCUACUGAGUUUCCACACUGCAUACCUUAGGUUCAGUCUCUGACUAGCUUUUAAUUUUUCUCUUUACGAGUUUAUUAAUUAUUGUUGUUGUGAUUCAAAUAUCAUAAACCUCCACUCAAUUAAUAUUUUAAUUUUCACUUACCCUAAACACUUCAUCUCACUGUAAACCUUAUAUAAUUUACCCAAUUAAUAUUCAAGUUAAUUUUCAGUUUUAACUUACCUUAUACAAGCACUUGAUCUCAUUCUUUAGAUUCUCUUUGCAUCUGACUAGCCCUAUUUUGUGCCACUCUAGCUUGUUUCUAAUAUUCUUGGAGGUGUUGUAUUGUACAAAUUAAUUUUGCAUGCAGUAUAUGUAUAUAUAUUUCAUAUUUUUUUCUGAUUAUAUUAAUUUAUUUUGGACAGGUCUUCCGAAUUCGAAGUUAAUUUGCAAGAUGGCUAAGGAAAAGGCUCAGAUCAACAUUGUGGUGGUUGGUCAUGUGGACCCUGAGGAGGCAACCACCAUUAACGAGCUGAAGAAGCCUGUUGUGGAGAAAGAAGCUCCAGGGCAUGCCAUAUGAGGGCAUGCACGUACGGCCUCGGAGGGGAACCAGAAAAUUAUGUUAACAAAAUAAUCUGGAACCCUAAUGUAUCAGUGUCAUCAUCAGUGUGUAGUUUAAGCUAGCUUUGCUAUGGUUACGUUCUUUGAGAUGAGAGUCUUGAUGAACAGUACCAUUCUGAUGUAUUGCUUUCCUUGAAAGUUAAUGCAUGCUUCUUAUCUUCUGUCUAGCU